rnacentral:tRNA from 1 species
AUCUUCUUAGUAUAGUAUUAGUACCCGUGACUUCCAAUUACCCAGCCUUGGUUUAAAUCCAGGAGAAGAUA